UAUGGUUACUACUUGGUUAAUUUGACUGAUCUAAGUAAUAGAAUUAGGGAAGAAUAAUCCCUUUUGUCUUUACAGGGUGAUGACACUGGACUCUAAGCGACAGCUAGGAAAGGGACCUGGGAGGAAUCAAUUUGUUUCUGAAAUAUCCAAAAUGCACAACAGAGUAAACCCAUGAAAACAAGACCCUAUACAAAAGUCAGUACAAUCCUGGGUACAUUAAAAAAGAUGUGAGGAACCAAUAAGAAGACCAUCUCCUGGCCUCAGUCAAAACCAUCUCUGGAACUGUGUGUAGCUAUGCUGCUGCCCUCAGGAAAGCACAGGAGGGAGCGCAUCCUGACAGGGGCGAUCCACAUGAUGGAGAUAUGGGAGGUGUUGCGAGAGGCCUCCUUUGUGGACAAGAAUCAAGAAGACAGGAGAGGGAUGAAGAACAACAAAUUCCUGCCUCACUAGGAACAGAUCAGAUCAUGGCCCUUAUGCAUACAGAAAUCCCCAUGAUACGUACAUAGAAAUGGACUUCACCCUUUCCUGGAAUAUAAAAUUAAGAAACAUCAUCCAGAACUAAAAGCAAUCUUUAUUACCGUUGGACAUAACAAAUCUAGCACUUCUUCGUAGGCUACUUGACCAGAACUGAAACCAGAUGAAGAGGAAAUGGAUCUCCAAUUUGAAGUGUGAUAGUUGCUUAAAAGCAAUAAGAACAGCAGGGAAGAGCCGAUUCUGCAGAAAAUAUGCCUUGCUACAGAAAACUGACAUGAACUUAGUACACAAAGAUAUCCAGAUUCUAGGGUUCCACCCCAGCCAGUCUAAGUCUCCUUACAUCACUCUGGUAGCAGAAGGAGUCCUCUGAUUUUUACAUAGCCCAUCUGCUGCCUUGAGCCAAAGGCCUAUGCUGACUGAGUCCUUCAGUGUCAGGACUCUGGGAGUGAGAGAACAGGAGUGAGGAGCAACUGGAGCCAUUAAUUUGGAGGAGAAGCAAAUGAAGGAGCAUCCAUGGAAAGAUUCACCCACAAGGUAAUUUUUGAAAUGGCUCCUUAAAGACAAGUAGGGGCAGGAUGUGAGGAAGCCAGGAAAUGCCAGGAUCUUUGUCUUUUGAAUCUGUGUCAAAUACUACUCCGUGUGUAUAGAAUCAUUAAAUGUUUGCAAACAUUAUGCAUAAUGGAAAAAAAAGACUAGUCAAAGAGAUUUACAGUUGGGUACAUGGGUGUCUCAUCAGAUGAGCGUCCAACUCCUGAUUUCUUCUCAGGUCAUGAUCUCAGGGUCAUGAGAUCAAACCCCAUAUCAGGCUCCAUGCUCAGCAGGGAGUCUGCUUGAGAUCCUCCCUUUACCUCUGCAUCUCACCAUUGCUCACAUGCACUCUCUUUCUCUCUUUCAAAUAAAUAAAUUUUUUUUUUCA
rnacentral:lncRNA from 12 species